GGAGGAGUGGCCGAGUGGUUUAAGGCAGCGGUUUUGAAAACCGCCGUACCCGGAAGGGUACCAGGGGUUCGAAUCCCUUCUCCUCCG
rnacentral:tRNA from 1 species